rnacentral:rRNA from 1 species
CCGAACCGACUUACGUUGAAAAGUGAGCGGAUGAACUGAGGGUAGCGGAGAAAUUCCAAUCGAACCUGGAGAUAGCUGGUUCUCUCCGAAAUAGCUUUAGGGCUAGCCUCAAGUGAUGAUUAUUGGAGGUAGAGCACUGUUUGGACGAGGGGCCCCUCUCGGGUUACCGAAUUCAGACAAACUCCGAAUGCCAAUUAAUUUAACUUGGGAGUCAGAACAUGGGUGAUAAGGUCCGUGUUCGAAAGGGAAACAGCCCAGACCACCAGCUAAGGUCCCAAAAUAUAUGUUAAGUGGAAAAGGAUGUGGCGUUGCCCAGACAACUAGGAUGUUGGCUUAGAAGCAGCCAUCAUUUAAAGAGUGCGUAAUAGCUCACUAGUCGAGUGACACUGCGCCGAAAAUGUACCGGGGCUAAACAUAUUACCGAAGCUGUGGAUUGUCCUUUGGACAAUGGUAGGAGAGCGUUCUAAGGGCGUUGAAGCAUGAUCGUAAGGACAUGUGGAGCGCUUAGAAGUGAGAAUGCCGGUGUGAGUAGCGAAAGACGGGUGAGAAUCCCGUCCACCGAUUGACUAAGGUUUCCAGAGGAAGGCUCGUCCGCUCUGGGUUAGUCGGGUCCUAAGCUGAGGCCGACAGGCGUAGGCGAUGGAUAACAGGUUGAUAUUCCUGUACCACCUAUAAUCGUUUUAAUCGAUGGGGGGACGCAGUAGGAUAGGCGAAGCGUGCGAUUGGAUUGCACGUCUAAGCAGUAAGGCUGAGUAUUAGGCAAAUCCGGUACUCAUUAAGGCUGAGCUGUGAUGGGGAGAAGACAUUGUGUCUUCGAGUCGUUGAUUUCACACUGCCGAGAAAAGCCUCUAGAUAGAAAAUAGGUGCCCGUACCGCAAACCGACACAGGUAGUCAAGAUGAGAAUUCUAAGGUGAGCGAGCGAACUCUCGUUAAGGAACUCGGCAAAAUGACCCCGUAACUUCGGGAGAAGGGGUGCUCUUUAGGGUUAACGCCCAGAAGAGCCGCAGUGAAUAGGCCCAAGCGACUGUUUAUCAAAAACACAGGUCUCUGCUAAACCGUAAGGUGAUGUAUAGGGGCUGACGCCUGCCCGGUGCUGGAAGGUUAAGAGGAGUGGUUAGCUUCUGCGAAGCUACGAAUCGAAGCCCCAGUAAACGGCGGCCGUAACUAUAACGGUCCUAAGGUAGCGAAAUUCCUUGUCGGGUAAGUUCCGACCCGCACGAAAGGCGUAACGAUUUGGGCACUGUCUCAACGAGAGACUCGGUGAAAUCAUAGUACCUGUGAAGAUGCAGGUUACCCGCGACAGGACGGAAAGACCCCGUGGAGCUUUACUGUAGCCUGAUAUUGAAAUUCGGCACAGCUUGUACAGGAUAGGUAGGAGCCUUUGAAACGUGAGCGCUAGCUUACGUGGAGGCGCUGGUGGGAUACUACCCUAGCUGUGUUGGCUUUCUAACCCGCACCACUUAUCGUGGUGGGAGACAGUGUCAGGCGGGCAGUUUGACUGGGGCGGUCGCCUCCUAAAAGGUAACGGAGGCGCUCAAAGGUUCCCUCAGAAUGGUUGGAAAUCAUUCAUAGAGUGUAAAGGCAUAAGGGAGCUUGACUGCGAGACCUACAAGUCGAGCAGGGUCGAAAGACGGACUUAGUGAUCCGGUGGUUCCGCAUGGAAGGGCCAUCGCUCAACGGAUAAAAGCUACCCCGGGGAUAACAGGCUUAUCUCCCCCAAGAGUUCACAUCGACGGGGAGGUUUGGCACCUCGAUGUCGGCUCAUCGCAUCCUGGGGCUGUAGUCGGUCCCAAGGGUUGGGCUGUUCGCCCAUUAAAGCGGUACGCGAGCUGGGUUCAGAACGUCGUGAGACAGUUCGGUCCCUAUCCGUCGUGGGCGUAGGAAAUUUGAGAGGAGCUGUCCUUAGUACGAGAGGACCGGGAUGGACAUACCUCUGGUGUACCAGUUGUCGUGCCAACGGCAUAGCUGGGUAGCUAUGUGUGGACGGGAUAAGUGCUGAAAGCAUCUAAGCAUGAAGCCCCCCUCAAGAUGAGAUUUCCCAACUUCGGUUAUAAGAUCCCUCAAAGAUGAUGAGGUUAAUAGGUUCGAGGUGGAAGCAUGGUGACAUGUGGAGCUGACGAAUACUAA